rnacentral:lncRNA from 1 species
UGGCAGCGGCUGCUGCCGCGUGCCGCUCUCCCCAUUCGACGCGUACUGGGUCGCGCUGCUGCUCGUCCGCCACCACCACCGUUCGGAGACGUUGUCCACGCACUCAGGGACUCCCUCGAGGCGUUGCUCCCGGCGUUCUACUGCUUCGCCGGUGCGCUGGUCUACUCGCCGGAGGAGGAGGAGGAGGGGUCGCUGUCCAUCGUCGUGGAGGCCGGCGGCGGCGUGGCAUUCGUGGAGGCCGAGGCUGGUGCGCUCGCCGCGGGGGAUGAUGGCAGCGGGGCUAGGGCCGCGCUUUGCCAUGCAGCAGCAGCCGAUGGUCUUCGCGUCGCCUCCGCCGCCGCCGCCGCAGUAGCAAGGAUUUGGCUUCAGCGGGUCCGGGACUGGAGCGGUGCUAGUGCCACGGGAGAUGGGGAUGGUGGCGCCUCGGCGAGAACGUUGCCGCCCCGGCGGCCACCAAGCCUCCUGCUCCUGCCGCCAACUUCCCGAGUCUCUGCGAGGUCGCCGCGGGCGCGGCCGGCGGCAAGUCCAAGAGGAAAAAGGGGUGGUCUCACGGCGGACGUGGUCGGGGAGGGGGCCCGUGUCGGAGGAGGAGGAGGAGCUCCAGUCGCUGCUCCGCAUCAUGGCCAGGUCGACGCCGGAGCGCUCGGCUAGUCCGCCGCCG